rnacentral:rRNA from 1 species
UAACACAUGCAAGUCGAGCGGUAGCAGGGGCUAGUAGCAAUACUAGCUGCUGACGAGCGGCGGACGGGUGAGGAAUACGUAGGAACCUGCCCUCAAGCGGGGGAUAACCAAGGGAAACUUUGGCUAAUACCGCAUAAUCUCGAGAGAGUAAAGCUGCCCGCGAGGGUGGCACUUGAGGAGGGGCCUGCGUCCGAUUAGCUAGUUGGUGAGGUAAAGGCUCACCAAGGCGGUGAUCGGUAACUGGUCUGAGAGGACGACCAGUCACACUGGGACUGAGACACGGCCCAGACUCCUACGGGAGGCAGCAGUGGGGAAUAUUGGACAAUGGGGGCAACCCUGAUCCAGCGAUGCCGCGUGAGUGAAGAAGGCCCUCGGGUCGUAAAGCUCUUUAGGUUGGGAAGAAGUGUGCCCGGUGAAUAUCCGGGUAUGUUGACGGUACCGACAGAAUAAGCACCGGCAAACUCUGUGCCAGCAGCCGCGGUAAUACAGAGGGUGCGAGCGUUAAUCGGAAUUACUGGGCGUAAAGGGCGCGUAGGCGGUAAGAUGUGUGUGGUGUGAAAGCCCCGGGCUUAACCUGGGAAGUGCAUCGCAAACUAUCUAACUGGAGUAUAUGAGAGGGUGGCGGAAUUUCCGGUGUAGCGGUGAAAUGCGUAGAGAUCGGAAGGAACGUCAAUGGCGAAGGCAGCCACCUGGCAUAAUACUGACGCUGAGGCGCGAAAGCGUGGGGAGCGAACAGGAUUAGAUACCCUGGUAGUCCACGCUGUAAACGAUGAGGACUAAAUGUUGGUAGGGGAACCUAUCAGUAUUGAAGCUAACGCGAUAAGUCUUCCGCCUGGGAAGUACGGCCGCAAGGUUGAAACUCAAAUGAAUUGACGGGGGCCCGCACAAGCGGUGGAGCAUGUGGUUUAAUUCGAUGCAACGCGAAGAACCUUAC